rnacentral:rRNA from 1 species
ACGGGUGCGUAACGCGUAGGAAUCUGCCUUGAAGAGGGGGACAACCCGAGGAAACUCGGGCUAAUACCGCAUAAUAUCGAGAGAUUAAAGCUGGGUGGUAACACCUGGCACUUCAAGAGGAGCCUGCGUCCGAUUAGCUAGUUGGUGGGGUAAAAGCCCACCAAGGCGAUGAUCGGUAGCUGGUCUGAGAGGAUGACCAGCCACACUGGGACUGAGACACGGCCCAGACUCCUACGGGAGGCAGCAGUGGGGAAUAUUGGACAGUGGGGGCAACCCUGAUCCAGCAAUGCCGCGUGUGUGAAGAAGGCCUUCGGGUUGUAAAGCACUUUAGUUGGGGAGGAAGAUAUGUAUUUUAAGAGAUAACAUAUUUGACUGUACCCAAAGAAUAAGCACCGGCUAACUCUGUGCCAGCAGCCGCGGUAAUACAGAGGGUGCGAGCGUUAAUCGGAAUUACUGGGCGUAAAGGGCGCGUAGGCGGAUAAUUAAGUUAGAUGUGAAAUCCCUGGGCUUAACCUAGGAACUGCAUCUAAUACUGGUUAUCUAGAGUGCGGUAGAGGAUAGUGGAAUUUCCGGUGUA